GAAGAAAAAGGCGUCUCUCGACUGGUUCCAGAAGGCAAACAAAACACCAGGCCGAGGCCAGAUCGAGUUCUAACUAUCUCGUGAAGUCAACGCUACGUAGAGGGAAAGCUUAUUACGGGAGAGAACUCGGAAAUUGUUCCAACGAGCUGACAAGGUUUCAACUUGGUGUCAGAAGAGAGUAAGCCGGAUUUGUUAUCAGUCACGAGCAUUUUUGAGUGAUUUGAUAUGAAAGGUGAAACACUUUGUGCGAUCGCUAUCCCAGACGUCAGCACUCUACGGCUCGCGUGCAGAGGUGGUUAGUUCUGCGAAUGUCAGUGACAUGCAAACAAAAAAAAAGGAAAUCUAAAUAAAUGUCAGUCCGUGUGGGCGGAGACUUCCUGAGACAUGUAAAGCAUGGGCCUAAGUUACUUGACAUCUUUACAGGAC